UGGUUUGUGUAUUGUAUAGUUCUAGACAUUCGAUUUCACUCAAAACCCACCAAAUGACUCCUCCCACAAUAUUAUGAUGUUCCUCAAGUUUUGGACUCAAGCCGAUAUCAAUUGGUCCAUGAAAUCUGCCAAUUUAGGUUCGUGCGAACUGUGUUCUGAAAUGGAGGGGUUGGUGUAUUGUAUAGUUUUGUACAUUGGAAUUCACUCAAAACCCACCGAAUUACUCCUCCCACAAUAUUAUGAUCUUCCCCAGGAUUUGGAUUCAAUCCAAUAUCGAUUGGUCCACGAAUUUGGAAAAUUCAGGUUCGUACGAAGUUCGUUCUGAAAUGGAGUGGUUGGUGUAUUGUAUAGUUCUAUAGAUUGGAUUUCACCCAAAACCCACCAAAUGACUCCUCCUACAAUUUUAUGAUGUUCCCCAAGUUUUGGACUCAAUCCGAUAUCGAUUGGUCCAUGAAAUCGGACAAUUCCGGUUCGUACGAGGUUUGUUCUGAAAUGGAGAGGUUGGUGUACUGCAUAGUUUUGGCAAUAGGAUUUCACUCGAAAUAGACCAAAUGACUCCUCUCACAACAUUAUGAUGUUCCCCAUGUUUUGGACUCAAACCAACAUCGAUUGGUCCAUGAAAUCGGACAAUUCAAGUUCGUACGAGGUUCUUUCUGAAAUAGAGUGGUUCGUGUAUUCUAUAGUUUUUGCAAUUGGAUUUCUCUCAAAACUCACCAAAUGACUCCUCCCACAAUAUUAUGGUGUUCCCCAAGUUUUGGACUUAAUCCGAUAUCGAUUGGUCCAUGAAAUCGGACAAUCCAGGUUCGUACGAAGUUCGUUCUUAAAUGGAGUGAUUGGUGCAUUUUAUAGUUCUUGGGAUUGGAUUUCACCCAAAACCCACCAAAUGACUCCUCCCACAAUUUUAUGAUGUUCCCCAAGUUUUGGACUCAAUCCAAUAUCGAUUGGUCCAUGAAAUUGGACAAUUCAAGUUCGUACGAAGUUCGUUCUGAAAUGGAGUGGUUAGUGUAUUGUAUAGCUCUAGGGACUGGAUUUCACUCAAAACCCACCAAAUGACUCCUCCCACAAUAUUAUGAUGUUCCCCAAGUUUUGGACCCAAUCCGAUAUCGAUUAGUCCAUGAAAUCGGACAAUUCAGUUUCAUACGAAGUUCGUUCUGAAAUGGAGUGGUUGGUGAAUUGCAUAAUUUUAGCCAUUGGAUUUCGCUCAAAACUCACGAAAUGACUUCUCCCACAACAUUAUGAUGUUCCCCAAGUUUUGGACUCAAUCCGAUAUCGAUUGGUCCCUGAAAUAGGACAAUUCAGGUUCGUACGAGGUUUAUUCUAAAAUGGAGUGGUUGGUGUAUCACAUAGUUUUGGCAACUGGAUUUCACUCAACAUUCACCGAAUGACUCCUUCCAUAAUUUUAUGAUGUUCCCCCAGUUUUGGACUCAAUCCAGUAUUGAUUGGUCCAUGAAAUUGGACAAUUCCGGUUCGUAUGAGGUUUGUUCUGAAUUUGAGAGGUUGGUGCAUUGCAUAGUUUGGCAAUUGGAUUUCCCUCAAAACUCACCAAAUGACUACUCCCAUAACGUUAUGACGGUCCCCCAGUUGUGGACUCAAUCCGAUAUCUACUGGUCCAUGAAAUCGGACAAUUCAGGUUUGUACGAAGUUCGUUCCAAAAUUUAGCGGUUUGUGUAUUGUAUAGUUCAAGAGAUUGGAUUUCACUCAAAAACCACCAAAUGACUCCUCCAGGAAUAUUAUGAUGUUCUCCAAGUUUUGUACUCAAUCCGAUAUCUAUUGGUCCAUCAAAAUCGGACAAUUCAGGUUCGUACAAAGUUCGUUUUGAAACAGAGUGGUUGGUGCAUUGUACAGUUUUAGGGAUUGGAUUUCACCAAAACCCACCAAAUGACUCCUCCCACAAUAUUACGCUGUUUCCCAAGUUUUGGCGUCAAUCCGAUAUCUAUUGGUCCAUGAAAUCGGACAAUUCAGGUUUGUACGAAGUUCAUUCUGAAAUGGGGUGGUUGGUGUAUUGUAUAGUUCUAGAGAUUGGAUUUCACUUUAAACCCACCAAAUUACUCCUCCCACAAUAUUAUGAUGUUCCCCAAGUUUUGGACUCAAUCCUAUAUCGAUUGGACCAUGAAAUCGGACAAUUCAGGUUCGUACGAAGUUCGUUCUGAAAUGGAAUGGUUGGUGUAUUGUAUAGCUCUAGGGACUGGAUUUCACUCAAAACCCACCAAAUGACUCCUCCCACAAUAUUAUGAUGGUCCCCAAGUUUAAGACUCAAUCCGACAUCAAUUGGUCCAUGAAAUUGGCCAAUUCAGGUUCGUGCGGACUAUGUUCUGAAAUGUAGUGGUUGGUGUAUUGUAUAGUGUUAGCCAUUGGAUUUCACUGAAAACCCACUAAAUAAGUCCUCCCACAAUACUAUGAUGUUCCCUAAGUUUUAGACUCAAUCCGAUAUCGAUUGGUCCACGAAAUCGGACAAUUCAGGUUCGUACAAAGUUCGUUUUGAAACGGAGUGGUUGGUGCAUUGUACAGUUCUAGGGAUUGGAUUUCACUCAAAACCCACCAAAUGACUCCUCCAACAAUUUUAUGAUGUUCCCCAAGUUUUGGACUCAAUCCGAUAUCGAUUGGUCCACGAAAUCGGACAAUUCAGGUUCGGACGAAGUUCGUUCUGAAAUGGAGUGGUUGGUGAAUUGCAUAAUUUUAGCCAUUGGAUUUUGCUCAAAACUCACGAAAUGACUUCUCCCACAACAUUAUGAUGUUCCCCAAGUUUUGGAAUCAAUCCGAUAUCGAUUGGUCCAUGAAAUCUGACAAUUCAGGUUCGUACGAAGUUCGCUAUGAAAUGAUGGGUUUGGUGUAUUGCAUUAUUUUAGCCAUUGGAUUUCACCCAACACCCACCAAAUGACUCCUCCCCCAAUUAUGAUGUUCCCCAAGUUUUGGACUCAAUUCGAUAUCGAUUGGUCCUCGAAAUUGGACAAUUAAGGUUCGUACGAAGUUCGUUCUGAAAUGGAGUGGUUGGUGUAUUGCAUAGUGCUAGUGAUUGGAUUUCACACAAAAGCCACCAAAUGACUCCUCCCAAAACAUUAUGAUGUUCCCCAAGUUUUGGACGCAAUCCGAUAUCGAUUCGUCCACAAAAUUGGACAAUUCACGUUCGUACGAAGUUCGUUCUGAAAUGGAGUGGUUGGUGUAUUGCGUAGUUUGAGACAUUGGAUUUCGCUCUAAACACACCAAUUGACUACUCCCACCAUAUUAUGUUGUUCUCUAAGUUUUUGGCUCAAUCCGAUAUCGUUGGGUCCAUGAAAUUGGACAAUUCAGAUUCGUACGAUGUUCGUUCUGAAAUGGAGUGGUUGGUGAAUUGCAUAAUUUUAGCCAUUGGAUUUCACUCAAAAAUCGCAAAAUGACUCAUCCCACAAGAUUAUAAAGUUCCCCAAGUUUUGGACCCAAUCCGAUGUCGAUUGGUCCAUGAAAUCGGACAAUUCAAGUUCGUUAUGAAAUGAUGUGGUUGGUGUAUCGCAUUAUUUUGGCCAUUGGAUUUCACCCAACACCCACCAAAUGACUCCUCCCACAAUAUUAUGAUGUUCCUGAAGUUUUGGACUCAAUCCGAUAUUGAUUGGUGCAUGAAAUUGGACAAUUCAUGUCCGUACGAAGUUCGUUCUGAAAUGGAGUGGUUGGUGCCUUGCAUUGUUCUCGAUAUUGGGUUUCACUCAAAACGCACCAGAUGACUCCUCCGACAACAUUAUGAUGUUCCCCAAGUUUUGGAUGCAAUCCGAUAUCGAUUCGUCCACAAAAUUGGACAAUUCAGGUUCGUACGAAGUUCGUUUUGAAAUGGAGUGGUUGAUGUAUUGCAAGAUUUGAGACAUUUGAUUUUACUCAAAACACACCAAAUGACUCCUCCCACCAUAUUAUGUUGUUCUCUAAGUUUUAGGCUCAAUCCGAUAUCGUUUGGUCCAUGAAAUCAGACAAUUCAGGUUCCCAUGAAGUUCUUUCUGAAAUGGGGUGGUUGGUGUAUUGUAUAGUUCUACAGAUUGGAUUACACUCAAACCCACCAAAUGACUCCUCCCACAAUAUAAUGAUGUUCCCCAAGUUUUGGCCUCAAUCCGAUAUCGAUCGGUCCACGGAAUUGGACUAUUCAGCUCAUACGAAUGACCCCUCCCACUAUAUUAUGAUGUUCCCCAAGUUUUGGACUCAAUCCGAUAUCGAUUGGUCCAUGAAAUUGGACAAUUCUAGUUCAUACGAAGUUUGUUCCGAAAUGGAGUGGUUGGUGUAUUGCAUAAUUUUAGCAAUUGGAUUUCGCUCAAAACUCACCAUAUGAUUCCUCCCACCAUAUUAUGAUGUUCCCCACGUUUUGGGCUCAAUCAGAUAUUGAUUGUUCCAAGAAAUUGGACUACUCAUGUUCGUACGAAAUUCGGUCUCUAUUGGAGUGGUUGGUGUAUUGUACAGUUCUAGAGAUUGGAUUUCAUAAAAACUUCACCAAAUGACUCCUCCCACAAUAUUAUGAUGUUCCCCAAGUUUUGGACUCAAUCCGGUAUCGAUUGGUCCAUGAAAUCGGACAAUUCAGGUUCGUACAAAGUUCGUUAUGAAAUGGAGUGGUUGGUGUAUAGUAUAGUUCUAGAGAUUGGAUUUCAAUAUAAACCCGCCAAAUGACUCUUCCCACAAUAUUUUGAUGUUCCCCCAGUUUUGGACUCAAUCCGAUAUCUAUUGGUCCGUGAAAUUGGACAAUUAAGGUUCGUACGAAGUUCGUUAUGAAAUGGAAUGGUUGGUGUAUCGCAUAGUUUUAGGCAUUGGAUUUCACUCAAAACUCACCAAAUGGCUCCUCCAACAACAAUAUGAUGUUCCCCAAGUAUUGGACUCAAUCCGAUAUCGGUUAGUCCAUGAAAAAGGACAACUCAGGUUUGUACGAAGUUCGUUCUGAAAUGGAAUGGUUGGUGUAUUGUAUAGUUUUAGCAACUGAAUUUCACUCAAAACUCACCUUAUGACUCCUCCCACCAUAUUAUGAUGUUCCCCACGUUUUAGGCUCAAUCUGAUAUCGAUUGGUCCAUGAAAUCGGACAAUUCAAGUUCGUACAAAGUUCGUUCGCUAUUGGUGUGGUUGGUGUAUUGUAUAGUUCUAGAGAUUGGAUUUCACUCAAAACCCACCAAAUGACUCCUCCCACAAUAUUAUGAUGUUCCCCCAGUUUUGGACUCAAUCCGAUAUUGAUUGGUCCAUGAAAUCGGACAAUUCAGGUUAGAAGGAAGUUCGUCCUGAAAUUUUGUGGUUGGUGUAUUGCAUUGUUUUGGCAAUUGGAUUUCACUCAAAACUCACCAAAUGACUCCUCCCACAACAUUAUCAUGUUCCCAAGUAUUGGACUCAAUCCGAUAUCGAUUGGUCCAUGAAAUCGGACAAUUAAAGUUCGUACGAAGUUCGUUCUGAAGUGGAGUGGUUCGUCUAUUGCAUAGUUCGAGGAAUUGGAUUUCACUCAAAAACCACCAAAUGCCUCCUCCCACAAUAUUAUGUUGUUCCCCAAGUUUUGGACUCAAUCCGAGAUCGAUUGGUCCUUGAAAUCGGACAAUUCAGGUUCGUACGAAGUUCGUUCUAAAAUGGAGUGGUUGGUGUAUUGUAUAGUUCUAGGGAUUAGAUUUCACUCAAAACUCGCCAUAUGACGCCUCCCACCAUACUAUGACGUUCCCCAAGUUUUGGGCUCAAUAAGAUAUUGAUUGGUCCAAGAAAUUGGACUGUUCAUGUUCGUACGCAGUUCGUUCUCUAUUGGAGUGGUUGGUGUAUUAUAUAGUUCUAGAAAUUGGAUUUCACUCAAACCCCACCAAAUCACUCCUCACACAAUAUUAUGAUGUUCCAGAAGUUUUGGACUCAAUCCAACAUCGAUUGGUCCAUGUAAUUGGACAAUUCAGGUUCGUACAAAGUUCGUUCUUAAAUGGAGUGGUUGGUGUAUUGUAUAGUUCUAGAGAUUGGAUUCCCCUCAAAACCUACCAAAUGACUCCUUCCACAACAUUAUGAUGUUCCCCAAAUUUUGGACUCAAUUCAUUAUCGAUUGGUCCAUGAAAUCGGACAAUUCAGGUUCGUACGAAGUUUUUUCUAAAAUGGAGUGGUUGGUGUAUUAUGUAGUUCUAGCGAUUGGAUUUCACUCAAAAUCCACCAAAUGACUCCUCGCACAAUAUUAUGAUGUUCCCCAAGUUUUGGACUCAAUCCGAUAUCGAUUGUUCCAUGAAAUCGGACAAUUCAGGUUUGUACGAGGUUCGUUCUGAAAUGGAGUGGUUGGUGCAUAGCUUAGUUUUGGCCAUUGGAUUUCACUCAAAGCUCACCAAAUGAAUCCUCACACAAAAUUAUGAUGUUCCCCAAGUUUUAGACUCAAUCCCAUAUCGAUUGGUCCAUGAAAUCGGACAAUUCAGAUUCGUACGAAGUUCAUUCUGUAAUGGAGUGGUUGGUGUAUUGCAUAGUUUUAGCAAUUGGAUUUCGCUCAAAACUCACCAUAUGACUCCUCUCACCAUAUUAUGUUGUUCCCCAAGUUUUGGGCUCAAUCAGAUAUUGAUUGGUCCAAAAAAUUGGACUAUUCAUGUUUGUACAUAGUUCAUUCUCUAUUGGAGUGGUUGGUAUAUUAUAUAGUUCUAGAAAUUGGAUUUCACUUAAACCCCACCAAAUGACUCCUCCCACAAUAUUAGGAUGUUCCAGACGUUUUGGACUCAAUUCGAAAUCGAUUGGUCCAUGUAAUUGAACAAUUCAGGUUCGUAGGAAGUUCGUUCUGAAAUGGAGUGGUUGGUGUAUUGUAUAGUUCUAGAGAUUGGAUUUACUCAAAACCCACCAAAUGACUCCUCCCACAAUAUUAUGAUGUUCCCCAAGUUCUGGACUCAAUCCGAUAUCGAUUGGUUAAUGAAAUCGGACAAUUCAGGUUCGUACGAAGUUCAUUCUGAAAUGGAGUGGUUGGUUUAUGGUAUAGUUCUGGGGACUGGAUUUCAUUCAAAAACCACCAAAUGACUCCUCCCACAAUAUUAUGAUGUUCCCCAAGUUUUGGACUCAAUCCGAUAUCGAAUGGUUAAUGAAAUCCAACCAUUCAGGUUCGCGCAAAGUUCGUUAUGAAAUGGAGUGGUUGGUGUAUUGUAUAGUUCUGGGGAUUGGAUUUCACUCAAAACCCACCGAAUGACCCCUCCCAAAAUGUUAUGAUGUUCCUCAAGUUUUGGACACAAUCCGACAUCGAUUGGUCAACGAAAUCGGACAAUUUCGGUUCGUACGAAGUUCGUACUGAAAUGGAGUGGCUGGUGUACUGUAUAAUUCUAGGGAUUGGAUUUCACUCAAAACCCACCAAAUGACCCCUCCCUCCAUAUUAUGAUGCUCCCCAAGUUUUGGACACAAUCCGAUAUCGAUUGGUCAAUGAAAUCGGACAAUUCAGGUUUGUACGAAGUUCGUUCUGAAAUGGAGUGGCUGCUUUAUUGUGUAGUUCUAGGGAUUGGAUUUCACUCAAAACUCACCAAAUAACUCCUCCCACAAUAUUAUGAUGUUCCCCAAGUUUCGGACUCAAUCCGAUAUCGAUUGGUUAAUCAAAUCGGACAAUUCAAGUUUUGUACAAAGUUCAUUUCGAAAAUGGAGUGGUUGGUGUAUUUGUGUAAAUCUAGGUAUUUGAUUUCACUCCGAAUCCCACCUAAUGACUCCUCCCCACAUUAUUAUGAUGUUUCCCCAAAUUUUUGGGACUCCAAUCCGAUAUCGAUUGGCCCUUGAAAUCGGACAAUUCAAGUCAUACGAAGUUCGUUCUGAAAUGGAGUGGUUGGUGUAUUGUAUUGUUUUAGAGAUUGAAUUUCACUCCAAUCCCACCAAAUGACAUCUCCCACAAUAUUAUGAUGUUCCCCAAGUUUUGGACUCAAUACGAUAUCGAUUGGUCCAUGAAAUCGGCCAAUUCAGGUUCGUGCGAACUGUAUUCUGAAAUGGAGUGGUUGGUGUAUUGUAUAGUUUUAGCCAUGGAAUUUCACUCAAAACCCGCCGAAUGACUCCUCUUACAAUAUUAUGAUGUUCUGAAAUGGAGUGGUUGGUUUAUUGUAUUGUUCUAGGGAUUCGAUUUCACUCAAAACCCACCAAAUAACUCCUCCCACAAUAUGAUGAUGUUCCCCAAGUUUUGGACUCAAUCCGAUAGUGAUUGGUCCACGAAAUCGGAGAAUUCAGGUUCGAACAAAGUUCGUUCUGAAAUGGUGUGGUUGGGGUAUUGUAUAGUUCAAGGGAUUGGAUUUCACUCAAAACCCACCAAAUGACUCCUCCCACAAUAUUGUGAUGCUCGCCAUCUUUUGUACUCAAUCCGAUAUCGAUUGGUCCAUGAAAUCGGCCAUUUCAGGUUCGUGCGAACGGUGUUGUGAAAUGGAGCGGUUGGUGUAUUGUAUAGUUUUAGCUAUUGGAUUUGAUUCAAAACCCACCGAAUAACUCCUCCCAAAAUAUUAUGAUGUUCCCUAAGUUUUGGACCCAAUCCUGUAUCGAUUGGUCCUCAAAAUCGGACAAUUUAGGUUCGUAUGAAGCUCGUUCUGAAAAGGAGUGGUUGGUGUGUUGUAUAGUUCUCGAGAUUGGAUUUCACUGAAAACCCACCAAAUGGGUCCUCCCAAAAUAUUACGAUGUUCCCCAAGUUUUGGACUCAAUCCGAUAUAGAUUGGUCCAUGAAAUCGGACAAUUCAGGUUCAAACGAAGUUCAUUCUGAAAUGGAGUGGUUGGUGUAUUGUAUAGUUCUAGGGUUUGGAUUUCACUCAAAACCCAUCAAAUGACAUCUCCCACAAUAUUAUGAUGUUCCCCAAGUUUUGGACCCAAUCCUGUAUCGAUUGGUCCUUAAAAUCGGACAAUUGAGGUUCGUAUGAAGCUCAUUCGAAAAUGCAGUGGUUGGUGUAUUGCAUAGUUCUCGAGAUUGGAUUUCACUGAAAACCCACCAAAUGGCUCCUCCCACAAUAUUACGAUAUUCCCCAAGUUUUGGACUCAAUCCGAUAUCAAUUGGUCCAUGAAAUCGGACAAUUCAGGUUCGAACGAAGUUUGUUCUGAAAUGGAAGGGUUGUUGUAUUGUAUAGUUCUAGAGGUUGGAUUUCACCCAAAACCUACCCAAAUCACUCCUCCCACAAUAUUAUGGUGUUCCCCAAGAUUUGGACUCAAUCCGAUAUCGAUUGGUCCAUGAAAUCGGACAAUUCAGGUUCAUACGAUGUUCGUUCUGAAAUGGAGUGAUUGGUGCAUUCUAUAGUUCUAGUGAUUGGAUUUCACUCAAAACCCUCCAAAUGACUCCUCCCACAAUUUUAUGAUGUUCCCCGAGUUUUGGACUCAAUCCGAUAUCGAUUGGAACAUGAAAUCGGACAAUUCAAGUUGGUACAAAGUUCGUUCUGAAAUGUAGUGGUCGGUGUAUUGUAUAUUUCUAGAGAUUGGAUUUCACUCAAAACACACCAAAUGACUCCUCUCACAACAUUAUCGUGUUACCCAUGUUUUGAACUCAAUCCGAUAUCGAUUGGUCUAUGAAAUCGGACAAUUCAGGUUUGUAUGAAGUUCUUUCUGAAAUGGAGUCGUUGGUGUAUUUUAUAGUUUUGGCAAUUGGAUUUCACUCAAAACUAACCUAAUGACUCCUCCCACAACAUUAUGAUGUUGCCCAAGUUUUGGACUCAAUCCGAUAUCUAUUGGUCCAUGAAAUCGGACAAUUCAGGUUCGUACGAAGUUCGUUACGAAAUGAAGUGGUUGGUUUACUAUACACUUCUAGCGAUUGGAUUUCACUCAAAACCCAUCAAAUGACUCCUCCCACAUUAUUAUGGUGGUACCCAAGUUAUGGACUUAGUCCGAUAUCGAUUGGUCCAUCAAAUCGGACAAUUCAGGUUCGUACGAAGUUCGUGCUGAAAUUUAGUGGUUGGUGGAUUAUAUAGUUUUUGCAAUUGGAUUUCACUCAAAACUCACCAAAUGACUCCUCCCACAAUAUUAUGGUGUUCCCCAAGUUUUGGACUCAAUCCGAUAUCGAUUGGUCCAUAAAAUCGGACAAUUCAGGUUCGUACGAAGUUCGUUUUGAAAUGGGGUGAUUGGUGCAUUCUAUAGUUCUAGUGAUUUGAUUUCACUCAAAACCCACCAAAUGACUCCUCCCACAAUUUUAUGUCGUUCCCCAAGUUUUGGACUCAAUCCGAUAUCGAUUGGUCCAUGAAAUCGGACAAUUCAGGUUCUUACGAAAUUGGUUCUGGAAUGUAGUGGUUGGUGUAUUGUAUAGUUAUGAAGAUUGGAUUUCACUUAAAACCCCCCAAUGUUAUAAUGUUACCCAUGUUUUGUACUCAAUCCGAUUUCGAUUGGUCCAAGAAAUUGGACUAUUCAUGUUCGUACGAAGUUCGUUCUCUUUUGGAGUGGCUGGUGUAUUGUAUAGUACUAGAGAUUUGAUUUCACUCAAACCUCGCCAAAUGAAUCUUGUCACUAAGACGCUCCCCAAGUUUUGGACUUAAUCCGAUAUCGACUGGUCAAUGAAAUCUUGCAAUUUAGGUUAAUACGAUGUUCGUUCUGAAAUGGAGUGGUUGGUGUAUUGCAUUGUUUUAGCAAUUGGAUUUCACUCAAAACUUACAAAAUGACUCCUCCCACAACAUUAUGAAAUUGAGUGGUUGGUUUAUUGCAUAGUUUUAGCGAUUGGAUUUCACUCGAAACUCACCAAUUGACUCCUCCAACAAUAUUAUGAUGUUCGCCAAGUUUUGGGCUUAAUCCGAUAUCAAUUGGUCCAUGAAAUUGGACAAUUCAGGUUCGUACGAAUUUCGUUCUGAAAUGGAGUGGUUCGUGUAUUGUAUAGUUCUAGAGAUUGGAUUUCACUCAAAACCCACCAAAUGACUACUCCCACAAUAUUAUAAUGUUCCCCAUAUUUUGGACUCAAUCCGAUAUCGAUUGGUGCAUGAAAUCGGACAAUUCAGGUUUGUACAAAGUUCGGUCGGAAAUGGAGUGGUUGGUGUAUUGUUAAGUUUUAGCCAUUGGAUUUCACUGGAAACUCACCAAUUGACUCAUCCCACAAUAUUAUGAUAUUCGCCAUGUUUCGGGCUCAAACCGAUAUCGAUUGGUCCACUAAAUUGGACAAUUCACGUUCGUACAAAGUUUGUUUCGAAAUGGAGUGGAUUGUGUAUUGUAUAGUUGUAGAGGUUGGAUUUCACUCAAAACCCACCAAAUGACUACUCCCACACCAUUAUGAUGUUCCCCAAGUUUUGGACUUAAUCCGAUAUCGAUUGGUCCAUAAAAUUGGGCAAUUCAGGUUCGUACGAAGUUCAUUCCGAAAUGGGUGGUUGGUGUAUUGCAUAGUUCUAGGGAUUUGAUUUCACAGAAAACCAACCAAAUGACUCCUCCCAUGAUAUUAUGAUGUUCCUCAAGUUUUGGACUCAAUCCGAUAUCGAUUAGUUCGUAAAAUUGGACAAUUCAGGUUCAUACGAAGUUCGUUUUGAAAUGGAGUGGUAGGUGUAUUGCAUAGUUCAAGGGAUUUGAUUUCACUCAAAACCCAUUAAACGACAACUCCCACAAUAUUAUGAUGUUCCCCAAGUUUAAAAAUCCAAUAUCAUUGGUCCAUGAAAUUGGACAAUUAAGGUUCGUACGAAGUUAGUUCUGAAAUGGAGUGGUUGGCGUAUUGUACAGUUCUAGAGAUUGAAUUUCUCUCAAAACCCACCAAAUGACUCCUCCCACUAUAUUAUGAUGUUUCUCAAGUUUUGGACUCAAUCCGAAAUCGAUUGGUCCCAGAAAUCAGACAAUUCAGGUUCGUACGAAGUUCGUUUUGAAAUGGAGUGGUUGGUGUAUUGCGUAGUUUUUGCAAUUGUAUUUCACUCAAAACUAACCAAACUACUCCUCCAACAGCAUCAUGAUGUUCCUCAAGUUUUGGCUCAAUCCGAUAUCGAUUGGUCCAUGAAAUUGGACAAUUUAGGUUUGUACGAUGUUCGUUCUGAAAUGGAGUGGUUGGUGUAUUGCAAUGUUUUUGCCAUUGGAUUUCACUCAAAACACACAAAAUGACUCCUCCCACAACAUUAUCAUGCUCCCUAAGUUUUGGACUCAAUCUGAUAUCGAUGGGUCCAUGAAAUCGGACAAUUCAGAUUCGUUCGAAGUUCGUUUUGAAAUGGAGUGGUUAGAUUUCACUCAAAAACCCCAAAAUGACUCCUCCCACAAUAUUAUGAUGUUCCCCAAUUUUUGGACUCAAUCCGAUAAAGAUUGGUUAAUAAAAUCGGACAAUUCAGGUUCGUACGAAGUUCAGUAUGAAAUGGAGUGGUUGGUGUAUUGUAUAGUUCUAGAGAUUGGAUUUCACUCAAAACACACCAAAUGACUCCUCCCACAACAUUAUGAUGUUCCUCAGGUUUUGGUUUCAAUAUGAUAUCGAUUGGUCCAAGAAAUCGGACAAUUCAGGUUCGCACCUUGUUCAUUCUGAAAUGGAGUGGUUGGUGUAUUGUAUAGUAGUAGGGAUUUCAUUUCACUCAAAACCCAUCCAAUGACAUCUCCCAUAAUAUUAUGAUGUUCCCCAUGGUUUGCACUCUAUCCGAUAUCAAUUGGUGAAUGAAAUCGGAAAACCCAGGUUCGUAUGAAGUUCGUUCUGAAAUGGGGUGGUUGGUGUAUUGUAUAGUUAUGGAGAUUGGAUUUUACCCCAAACCAACCAAAUGACUCAUCCCACAAUAUUAUGAUGUUCCCCAAGUUUUGGACUCAAUCCGACAUCGAUUGGCCCAUGAAAUCGGGCAGUUCAGGUUCGUUCGAAGUUCGUUCUGAAAUGGAGUGGUUGGUGUAUUGUAUAGUUCUGGGGAUUGGAUCUCAGUCAAAAACCCCAAAAUGACUCCCCACAAUAUUAUGAUGUUCCCCAAUUUUUGGACUCAAUCCUAUAAAGAUUGGUUAAGGAAAUCGGACAAUUCAGGUUCAUACGAAGUUCAUCCUGAAACGGAGUGGUUGGUGUAUUGUAUAGUUCUAGAAAUUGGAUUUCACUAAAAAACCACCAAAUGACUCCUCCCACAAUAUUAUGAUGUUGCCCAAGUUUUGGACUCAAUCCGAUAUGAAUAGGUCCAUGAAAUUGGAUAAUUCCGGUUCGAACGAAGUUCAUUGUGAAAUGGAGUGGUUGGUGUUUUGCAUUGUUUUAAUAAUUGGAUUUGAGACCCCAGUUGACUCCUCCCACAAUAGUAGGAUGCCCCCCCAAGUUUUGGACUCAAUCCGAUAUCGAUUGGUCCACGAAAUCGGACAGUUCAGGUUCGUACGAAGUUCGUUCUGAAAUGGAGUGGUUGGUGUAUUGCCCAAUUUUAGGAAUUGCAUUUCACUCAGAACUCACCAUAUGACUCCUCCCAUCACAUUAUGAUGUUCCCAAGUUUUGGGCUCAAUCAGAUAUUGAUUGGUCCAUGAAAUUGGAAUAUUCAUGCUCGUAUGAAGUUCGUUCUCAAUUGGAGUGGUUGGUGUAUUAUACAGUUCUAGAGAUUGGAUUUCAUUCCAACCCCACCAAAUGGCUCCUCCCACAAAAUUAUGAUGUUUCCCAAGUUUUGGACACAAUCCAACAUCGAUUGGUCCAUGUAAUUGGACAAUUCAGGUUCGUACAAAGUUCGUUCUUAAAUAGAGUGGUUGGUGGAUUGUAUACUUCUAGAGAUUGGAUUUCCCUUAAAACCCACCAAAUGACUACUCCCACAACAUUAUGAUGUUCCCCAAAUUUUGGACUCAAUCCGUUAUCGAUUGGUCCAUGAAAUCGGACAAUUCAGGUUCGUACGAAGUUCGUUCUGAAAUGGAGCGGUUGGUGUAUUAUGUAGUUCUAGCGAUUGGAUUUCACUCAAAAUCCACCAAAUGACUCCUCGCACAAUAUUAUGAUGUUCCCCAAGUUUUGGACUCAAUCCGAUAUCUAUUGGUCCAUGAAAUCAGACAAUUCAGGUUUCUAAGAGGUUCGUUCUGAAAUGGAGUGGUUGGUGCAUUGCUUAGUUUUGGCCAUUGGAUUUCACUCAAAGCUCACCAAAUGAAUCCUCCCACAAAAUUAUGAUGUUCCCCAAGUUUUAGACUCAAUCCCAUAUCGAUUGGUCCAUGAAAUCGGACAAUUCAUAUUUGUACGAAGUUCAUUCUGUGAUGGAGUGGUUGGUGUAUUGCAUAGUUUUAGCAAUUUGAUUUCGCUCAAAACUCACCAUAUGACUCCUCCCACCAUAUUAUGUUGUUCCCCAAGUUUUGGGCUCAAUCAGAUAUUGAUUGGUCCAAAAGAAAUUGGACUAUUCAUGUUCGUACGUAGUUUAUUCUCUAUUGGAGUGGUUGGUGUAUUAUAUAGUUCUAGAAAUUGGAUUUCACUCAAACCCCACCAAAUGACUCCUCCCACAAUAUUAUGAUGUUCCAGAAGUUUUGGACUCAAUCCGAAAUCAAUUGGUCCAUGUAAUUGGACAACUCAGGUUCGUAGGAAGUUCGUUCUGAAAUGGAGUGGUUGGUGUAUUGUAUUGUUCUAGAGAUUGGAUUUCACUCAAAACCCACCAAAUGACUCCUCCCUCAAUAUUAUGAUGUUCCCCAAGUUUUGGACUCAUUUUGAUAUCGAUUGGUCCAUUAAAUCGGACAAUUCAGGUUCGUACGAGGUUCGUUCUGAAAUAGAGUGAUUAGUGUAUUGCACAGUUUUGGCAAUUGGAUUUCACUCAAAACUCACCGAAUGACUCCUCCGGCAACAUUAUGAUGUUCCCCAAGUUUUGGACUCAAUCCAUUAUCGAUUUGUCCAUGAAAUCGGACAAUUUAGGUUCAUACGAAGUUCAUUAUGAAAUUUAGUGGUUGGUAUAUUGUAUAGUUUGAGAGUUUGGAUUUCACUCAAAACCCACCAAAUGACUUUUCCAACAAUAUUAUGAUUUUCUCCAAGUUUUGGACUCAAUCCGAUAUCGAUUGGUCCAUGAAAUCGAACAAUUUAGGCGUACGAAGUUAGUUGUGAAAUGGAGUGGCAGGUGUAUUCUAUAGUUCAAGAUAUUGGAUUUCACUCAAAACACACCAAUUUACUCCUCCCGCCAUAUUACGAUGUUACCCAAGUUUUGAAUUAAUCCGAUAUUGAUUUGUCCAUGAAAUUGGAUAAUUCAGGUUCAAACGAAGUUCGCUGUGAAAUGAAGUGGUCGGUGUAUUGCGUGGUUCAAGAUAUUGGAUUUCACUCAAAACACACCAAUUGACUCCUCCCACCAUAUUAUGAUGUUCCCCAAGUUAUGGAAUCAAUCCGAUAUCGAUUGGUCUAUGAAAUUAGAUAAUUCAAGUUCAAAUGAAGUUCAUUGUGAAUUGGGGUGGUUGUUCUAUUGCAUAGUUCUAGUGAUUGGAUUUCACUCAAGACCCACCAAAUGACUCCACCCACAACAUUAUGAUUUUCAUCAAGUUUUGGGCUCAGUCAGAUAUUGAUUGGUACAAGAAAUUGGACUAUUCCUGUUCGUACGAAGUUCGAUCUCUAUUGGAGUGGUUGGUGUAUUGUAUAGUUCUAGCAAUUGGAUUUCACUCAAACCCCUCCAAAUGACUCCUCCCACAAUAUUAUGAUGUUCCCCAAGUUUUGGACUCAAUCCGAUAUCGAUUGGUCCAUGAACUUCUGAAAUGGAGUGGUUGGUGUAUUGCGUAGUUCUAGAGAUUGGAUUCACUCAAACCAAACCAAAUGACUCCUCCCACAAUAUUAUGAUGUUCCCCAAGUUUUGGACUCAAUAAGAUAUCGAUUGGUCCAUGAAAUCAGAAAACUCAGGUUCGUUCGAAGUUCGUUCUGAAGUUUAGUGGUUGGUGUAAUGUAUAGCAAUUGGUCCAUGAAAUCGGACAAUUCAGGUUCGUACGAAGUUCGUUCUGAAAUUUAGUGGUUGGUGUAUUGCAUAGUUCUACAGAUUGGAUUAGAUUCAGAAACCACCAAAUGACUCCCCCCACAACAUUAUAACCCACCAAAUGACUCCUCCCACAAUAUUAUGAUGUUGGCCAUGUUUCGGACUCAAUCCUAUAUCGAUUGGUCCAUGAAAUUAGACUAUUCAGGUUCGUACGAAGUUCGUUCUGAAAUGGAGCGGUUGGUGUAUUGCUUAGUUCUAGAGAUCGGAUUUCACUAGAAACCCACCAAAUGACUCAUUCCACCAUAUUAUAAUGUUCCUGAAGUUUUGAACUCAAUCCGAUAUCGAUUGGUCCAUGAAAUUGGACAAUUAAGGUUCGUACGAAGUUCGUUUGAAAUGGAGUGGUUGAUGUAUUGCAUAGUUCUAGAGAUUGGAUUUCACUCAAAACCCACCAAAUGACUCCUCCCACCAUAUUAUGAUGUUCCCCAAGUUUUGUACUCAGUCCGAUAUGGAUUAGUCCACGAAAUUUGACAAUUAAGGUUCGUACGAAGUUUGUUCUGAAAUGGAGUGGUUGGGGUAUUGUAUAGUUCUAGAGACUGGAUUUCACUCAAAACCCACCAAAUCACUCCUCCCACCAUAUUAUGAUGUUCUCCAAGUUAUGGACUCAAUCUUAUAUCGCUUGGUCUAUGAAAUUGGACAAUAAAGGUUUCGUACGACGUUUGUUCAGAAAUUGAGUGGUUGGUGUAUUGCAUAGUUAUAGAGAUUGGAUUUCACUCGAAACCCACCAAAUGACUCCUCCCUCCAUAUUAUGAUGUUCCCCAAGUUUUGGACACAAUCCGAUAUCGAUUGGUCAUUGAAAUCGGACAAUUCAAGUUCGUAUGAAGUUCGUUCUGAAAUGGAGUGGCUGGUUUAUUGUGCAGUUCUAGGGAUUGGAUUUCACUCAAAACCCACCAAAUAACUCCUCCCACAAUAUUAUGAUGUUCCCCAAGUUUUGGACUCAAUCCUAUAUUGAUUGGUCCACGAAAUCGGACAAUCAGGUUCGAACGAAGUUCAUUCUGAAAUGGAGUGGUUCGUCUAUUGCAUAGUUCUAGGAGUUGGAUGUCACUCAAAAACCACCAAAUGACUCCUCCGACAGUAUUAUGUUGUUCCCCAAGUUUUGGACUCAAUCCGACAUCGAGUGGUCCUUGAAAUCGGACAAUUCACGUUCGUACGAAGUUCGUUCUGAAAUGGAGUGGUUGGUGUAUUGUAUAGUUCUAGGGAUAGGAUUUCACUCAAAACCCCCCAAAUGACCCCUCCCACAAUGUUAUGAUGUUCCCCAAGUUUUGGACACAAUCCGAUAUCGAUUGGUCAAUGAAAUCAGACAAUUCAGGUUCGUACGAAGUUUGUUUGAAAAUGGAGUGGUUGGUUUAUUCUAUAGUUCUAGGGUUUGGAUUUCACCCAAAACCCACCAAAUGACCCCUCCCACAAUAUUAUGAUGUUCCCCAAGUUUUGGACGCAAUUCGAUAUCGAUUGGUCAAUGAAAUCAGACAAUUCAGGUUCGUACGAAGUUCGUUCUAAAAUGGAGUGGUUGGUUUAUUGUACAGUUCUGGGGAUUGGAUAUCACUCAAAAACCAUCAAAUGAGUCCUCCCACAAUAUUAUGAUGUUCCCCAAGUUUUGGACACAAUCCGAUAUUGAUUGGUCCACAAAAUCGGACAAUUCAGGUUCGAACGAAGUUCGUUCUGAAAUAGAGUGGUUGGUGUAUUGUAUAGUUCUAGGGAUUGGAUUUCACUCAAAAACCCCAAAAUGACUCAUCCCACAACAUUAUGUUGUUCCCGAAGUUUUGGACACAAUCCGAUAUCGAUUGGUCAAUGAAAUCAGACAACUCAGGUUCAUACGAAGUUCGUUCUGAAAUGGAGUGGUCGGUUUAUUGUACAUUUCUGGGGAUUGGAUAUCACCCAAAAACCACCAAAUGACUCCUCCCAAAAAAUUAUGAUGUUCCCCAAGUUCUGGACUCAGUCCGAUAUCGAUUGGUUAAUGAAAUCAGACAAUUCAGGUUCGAACGAAGUUCGUUCUGAAAUGGAGUGGUUGGUUUAUUGUAUAGUUUUUGGGACUGGAUUUCACUCAAAAACCAUCAAAUGUCUCCUCCCACAGUAUUAUGUUGUUCCCCUAGUUUUGGACUCAAUCCGAUAUCGAAUGGUUAAUAAAAUCGAACAAUUCAGGUUCGCACGAAGUUCGUUCCGAAAUGGAGUGGUUGGUUUAUUGUACAGUUCUGGGGAUUGGAUUUCACUCAAAACCCACCAAAUGACGCCUCCCACAAUGUUAUGAUGUUCCCCAAGUUUUGGACACAAUCCAAUAUUGAUUGGCCCACGAAAUCGGACAAUUCAGGUUCGAACGAAGUUCGUUCUGAAAUAGAGUGGUUGGUGUAUUGUAUAGUUCUAGGGAUUGGAUUUCACUCAAAACCCCCGAAAUGACUCGUCCCACAAUAUUAUGAAGUUCCCCAAGUUUUGGACACAAUCCGAUAUCGAUUGGUCAAUGAAAUCGGACAACUCAGGUUCAUACGAAGUUCGUUCUGAAAUGGAGUGGUUGGUUUAUUGUACAGUUAUGGGGAUUGGAUAUCACCCAAAAACCACCAAAUGACUCCUCCCACAAUAUUAUGAUGUUCCCCAAGCUUUGGACUCAAUCCGGUAUGGAUUGGUCCAUGAAAUCGGACAAUUCAAGUUCGUACAAAGUUCGUUAUGAAAUGGAGUGGUUGGUGUAUAGUAUAGUUCUAGACAUUGGAUUUCACUCAAAAUCCGCCAAAUGACUCUUCCCACAAUAUUAUGAUGUUCCCCAAGUUUUGGACUCAAUCCGAUAUCUAUUUGUCCAUGAAAUUGAACAUAAAAGGUUCGUACGAAGUUCGUUAUGAAAUGGAAUGGUUUGUGUAUUGCAUAGUUUCAGGCAUUGGAUUUCACUCAAAACUCACCAAAUGACUCCUCCAACAACAAUAUGAUGUUCCCCAAGUAUUGGACUCAAUCCGAUAUCGAUUGGUCCAUGAAAAAGGACAAUUCAGGUUUGUACGAAGUUCGUUCUGAAAUGCAGUGGUUGGUGUAUUGUAUAGUUUUAGCAAUUGGAUUUCACUCAAAACUCACCAUAUGACUCCUCCCACCAUAUUAUAUUGUUCCCCACGUUUUGGGCUCAAACUGAUAUCGAUUGGUCCAUGAAAUCGGACAAUUCAAGUUCGUACAAAGUUCGUUCUCUAUUGGUGUGGUUGGUGUACUGUAUAGUUCUAGAGAUUGGAUUUCACUCAAAACCCACCAAAUGACUCCUCCCACAAUAUUUUGAUGUUCCCCAAGUUUUGGACUCAAUCCGAUAUCGAUUGGUCCAUGAAAUCGGACAAUUCAGGUUAGAACGAAGUUCAUCCUGAAAUUUUGUGGUUGGUGUACUGUAUUGUUUUGGCAAUUGGAUUUCACUCAAAACUAACCAAAUGACUCCUCCCACAACAUUAUCAUGUUCCCCAAGUUUUGGACUCAAUCCGAUAUCGAUUGGUCCAUGAAAUCAGACAAUUCAGGUUAGUAUGAAGUUUGUCCUGAAAUUUUGUGGUCGGUGUAUUGUAUAGUUCUAGAGUUUGGAUUGCACUCAAAACCCACCAAAUGACUCCUCCCACAAUAUUAUGAUGUUCCCCAAGUUUUGGAAUGAAUCCGAUAUCGAUUCAUCCAAGACAUCGGACAAUUCAGGUUCGUACGAAGUUCGUUCUGAAAUCAAGUGGUUGGUGUAUUGUAUAGUUCUAGAGAUUGGAUUUCACUCAAGACCCACCAAAUGACUCCCCCCACAAUAUUAUGAUGUUCCCCAAGUUUUGCACUCAAUCCGAUAUCGAUCGGUCCACGAAAUCAGACAAUUUAGGUUGGUACGAAGUUCGUUCUUAAAUGGAGUGCUUGGUGUAUUGCGUUGUUUGAGCCUUUGGAAUUCACUCAAAACUCACAGAAUGACACCUCCCACAACAUUAUGAUGUUCCCCAAGUUUUGGACUCAAUUCGAUAUCGAUUGGUCCCUGAAAUCGAACAAUUCAGGUUCGUACGAAGUUCGUUAUGAAAUGGAGUGGUUGGUGGAUUGCAUAGUUUUAGCAAUUGGAUUUCGCUCAAAACUCACCAUAUGACUCCUCCCUCAACAUUGUGAUGUUCCCCAAGUUUUGGACUCAAUCCAAUAUCUAUUGCUCCAAGAAAUUGGGCUAUAAAUGUUCUUUCGAAGUUCAUUCUCUAUUGGAGUGGUUGGUGUAUUGUAUAGUUCUGGAGAUUGGAUUUCACUACCCCACCAAAUGGCUCCUCCCACAACAUUAUGAUGUUCCCCAAGUUUUGGACUCAAUCCAAUAUCGAUUGGUCCAUCAAAUCGGACAAUUUGGGUUUGUACGAAGUUAGUUGUGAAAUGGAGUGGUUGAUGUAUUGCAUAGUUCAACAUAUUGGAUUUCAGUCAAAACCCACCAAUUGACUCCCACCAUAUUAUAAUGUUCCCAAAUCUUUGGAAUCAAUCCGAUAUCGAUUGGUCCAUGAAAUUGGAUAAUUCAGGUUCGAACGAAGUUCAUUGUGAAAUGGAGUGGUUGGUGUAUUGCAUAGUUCUAGUAAUUGGAUUUGUCUCGAAACCCACCAAAUGAUUCCUCCCACAAUGAUGUUCCCCAAGUUUUGGACUCAAUCCGAUAUCGAUUGGUCCAUGAAAUUAGACAAUUUAGGGUCGUACGAAGUUCGUUCUUAAAUGGAGUGGUUGGUGUAUUGCAUUGUUUGAGCCUUUGGAAUUCACUCAAAACUCACAAAAUGACACCUCCCACAACAUUAUGAUGUUCCCCAAGUUUUGGACUCAAUUCGAUAUCGAUUGGUCCUUGAAAUCGGACAAUUCAGGUUCGUACGAAGUUCGUUCUGAAGUAGAGUGGUUGGUGUAUUGUAUAGUUCCAGAGAUUGAAUUUCACUCAAAACGCACCAAAUGACUCUUCCCACAAUAUUAUGAUGUUCCCCAUGUUUUGGACUCAAUCCGAUAUCGAUUGGUCAAAGAAAUCGGAUAAUUCAGUUUCGUUCGAAGUUCGUUCUGAAAUUGAGUGGUUGCUGUGUUGUAUAGUUCUAGAGACUGGAUUUCACUCAAAACCCACCAAAUGACAUUUCCCACAAUAUUAUGAUGUUCCCCAAGUUUUGCACUCAAUCCGAUAUCGAUUGGUCCAUGAAAUCGGACAAUUCAGGUUCGUCCGAAGUUCGUUAUGAAAUGGAAUGGUUGGUGUGUUGUAUAGUUCUAGAGAUUCGAUUUUACUCCAAACCCACCAAAUGACUCCUCCCACAAUAUUAUGAUGUUCUCCAAGUUUUGGAUUCAAUCCGGUUUCUAUUGGUCCAUGCAAUUGGACAAUUCAGGUUUGUACGUUGUUCGUUCUGAAAUGGACUGGUUGGUGUAUUGUAUAGUUCCAGAGAUUGGAUUUCACUCAAAACGCACCGAAUGACUCUUCCCACAAUAUUAUGAUGUUCCCCACGUUUUGGACUCAAUCCGAUAUCGAUUGGUCCUUGAAAUUGGACAAUUCAGGUUUGUACGUUGUUCGUUCUGAAAUGGACUGGUUGGUGUAUUGUAUAGUUCCAGAGAUUGGAUUUCACUCAAAACGCACCGAAUGACUCUUCCCACAAUAUUAUGAUGUUCCCCACGUUUUGGACUCAAUCCGAUAUCGAUUGGUCAAAGAAAUCGGGUAAUUCAGGUUCGUUCGAACUUCAUUCUUAAAUGGAGUGGUUGGUGUGUUGUAUAGUUCUAGAGAUUGGAUUUCGCUCAAAACCCGCCAAAUGACAUCUCCCACAGUAUUAUGAUGUUCCCCAAGUUUUACACUCAAUCCGAUAUCGAUUGGUCCAUGAAAUCUGACAAUUCAGGUUCGUACGAAGUUCGUUAUGAAAUGGAGUGGUUGGUGUAUUGUACAGUUCACGAGAUUGGAUUAGACUCAAAACACACCAAAUGACUCCUCCCAUAAUAUUAUGAUGUUCCCCAAGUUUUGGACUCAAUCCGAUAUCGAUUGGUCCAUGAAAUCGACCAAUCCUGGUUCGUGCGAACUGUGUUCUGAAAUAGGGUGGUUGGUGUAUUGUAUAGUUUUGGCCACUGGAUUUCAUUCAAAACCCACCAAAUGACUCCUCCCAGAAUAUUUUGAUGUUCCCCAAGUUUCGGACUCAAUCCGAUAUUCAUUCGUCAAAGAAAUCGGACAAUUCACGUUCGUACGAAGUUCGCUCCGAAAUGGAGUGGUUGGUAUAUUGUAUAGUUCUAGCGAUUGGAUUUCACUCAAAACCCACCAAAUGACAUCUCCCACAAUAUUAUGAUGUUCCCAAGGUUUUGCACUCAAUCCGAUAUCGAUUGGUCCAUGAAAUCAGACAAUUCAGGCUCGUACGAAGUUCGUUCAGAAAUGGAGUGGUUGGUGUAUUGUAUAGUUCUUGAUAUUAGAUUACACUCAAAACCCACCAAAUCCUUCCUCCUACAAUAUUAUGAUGUUCCCCAGGUUUUGGACUCAAUCCGAUAUCGAUUGGUCCAUGAAAUCGGACAAUUCAAGUUCGUACGAAGUUCGUUCCGAAAUGGAGUGGUUGGUGAAUUGUAUAGUUCAAGAGAUUGGAUUUCACUCAAAACCCACCAAAUGACAUCUCCCACAAUAUUAUGAUGUUACCCAAGUUUUGCACUCCAUACGAUAUCGAUUGGUCCUUGAAAUACAGCAAUUCAGGUUCGUACAAAGUUCGUUCUGAAAUGGAGUGGUUGGUGUAUUGUAUAGUUCUUGUGAUUGGAUUUCACUAAAAACCCACCAAAUGACAUCUUCCACAAUAUUAUGAUGUUCCCCAAGUUUUGCACUCAAUCCGAUAUUGAUUGGUCCAUGAAAUCGGACUAUUCAAGUUCGUACGAAGUUCGUUCUGAAAUGGAGUGGUUGGUGUAUUGUAUAGUUCUAGAGAUCGGAUUACACUCAAAACCCACCAAAUGACUCCUCCCACAAUAUUGUGAUGUUCCCCAGGUUUUGGACUCAAUCCGAUUUCGAUUGGUCCAUGAAAUCGGACAAUUCAGGUUCGUACGAAGUUCGUUCUGAAAUGGAUUGGUUGGUGUAUUGUAUAGUUCUAGAGAUUGGAUUACACUCAAAACCCACCAAAUGACUGCUCCCACAAUAUUGUGAGAUUCCCCAAGUUUUGGACUCAAUCCGAUAUCGGUUGGUCCAUGAAAUUGGCCAAUUCAGGUUCGUGCGAACUGUGUUCUGAAAUAAAGAGGUUGGUGUAUUGUAUAGUUUUAGCCAUUGGAUUUCAUUAAAAACCCACCAAAUGACUCCUCCCACAAUAUUAUGAUGUUCCCCAAGUUUUGGACUCAAUCCGAUAUCCAUUGGUCUAAGAAAUCGAGGACAAUUCAGGUUUGUACGAAGUUCGUUCUGAAGUGGAGUGGUUGGGGUAUUGCAUAGUUCUAGAGAUCAGAUUUCACUCAAAACCCACCAAAUGACAUCUCCCACAAUAUUAUGAUGUUCCCCAACUUUUGGACUCAAUCCGAUAUGAAUUUAUCCUUGAAAUACAACAAUUCAGGUUCGUACGAAGUUCGUUCUGAAAGGGAGUGGUUGGUGUAUUGUAUAGUUCUAGCGAUUGGAUUUCACUAAAAACCCACCAAAUGACAACUCCCACAAUAUUAUAAUGUUCCCCAAGUUUUGCACUUAAUCCGAUAUCGAUUGGUCUAUGAAAUCGGACAAUUCAUGUUCGGACGAAGUUCGUUCUGAAAUGGAGUGGUUGGUGUAUUGUAUAGUUCUUGAGAUUGGUUUUCACUCAAGACCCACCAAAUGACAUCUCCCACAAUAUUAUGAUGGUCCCCGAGUUUUGCACUCAAUCCGAUAUCAAUGGGUCCAUGAAAUCGGACAAUUCAGGUUCGUACGAAGUUCGUUAUGAAAUGGAGUGGUUGGUGUAUUGUAUAGUUCUGGAGAUUGGAUUUUACUCCAAACCCACCAAAUGACUCCUCCCACAAUAUUAUGAUGUUUCUCAAGUUUUGCCCUCAAUCCAAUAUAGAUUGGUCCAUGAAAUCAGAUAAUUCAGGUUCGUACGAAGUUAUUUUUGAAAUGGAGUGGUUCGUGUAUUGUAUCGUUAUAGGGAUUUGAUUUCACUCAAAACCCACCAAAUAACUCCUCCCACAAUAUUAUGAUGUUCCCCAAGUUUUGGACUCAAUCCCAUAUUGAUUAGCUCAUGAAAUCGGACAAUUCAGGUUCGAACGAAGUUCGUUCUGAAAUGGAGUGGUUGGUGUAUUGUAUAGUUCCAGGGAUUGGAUUUCACCCACAACCCACCAAAUGACUCCUCCCACAAUAUUAUAAUGUUCCUCAGGUUUUGGACACAAUCCGAUAUGAAUUGGUCCAUGAUAUCGGCCAAUUCUGGUUCGUGCGAACUGUGUUAUGAAAUGGAGUGGUUGGUGUGUUGUAUAGUUUUCGCCAUUGGAUUUCAUUCAAAACCCACCAAAUAACUCCUCCCACAAUAUUUUGAUGUUCCACAAGUUUUCGACUCAAUCCGAUAUCGAUUGGUCCUUGAAAUCGGACAAUUCAAGUUCGUGCGAAGUUCGUUCUGAAAUGGAGUGGUUAGUGUAUUGUACAGUUCGAGAGAUUGGAUUUCACUCAAAACCCACCAAAUGACAUCUCCAACAAUAUUAUGAUCUUCCCCAACUUUUGCACUCAAUCCGAUAUCGAUUGGUCCAUGAAAUCGAACAAUUCAGGUUCGUACGAGGUUCAUUCUGAAAUGGAGUGGUUGGUGUAUUGUAUAGUUCUAGAGAUUGGAUUUCUCUUAAAACCCACCAAUUUAAUCUCCCACAAUAUUACGAUGUUCCCCGAGUUUUGCACUCAAUCCGAUAUCGAUUGGUCCAUGAAAUCGGACAAUUCAGGUUCGUACGAAGUUCGUUCUGAAAUGGAGUGGCGGGCGUAUUGUAUAGUUCUAGGGAUUGGAUUUCACUCAAAACCUACCAAAUGACUACUCCCACAGUAUUAUGAUGUUCCCCAAGUUUUGGACUCAAUCGAUAUCGAUUGGUCCUUGAAAUUGGACAAUUCAGGUUCGUACGAAGUUCGUUCUGAAAUGGAGUGGUUGGUGUAUUGUAUAGUUCUAGAGGUUGGAUUUCACUCAAAACCAACCAAAUGACUCCUCUCACAAUAUUAUGAUGUUCCCCAAGUUUUGGACUCAAUCGAUAUCGAUUGGUCCUUGAAAUCGGACAAUUCAGGUUCGUACGAAGUUCGUUUUGAAAUGGAGUGGUUGGUGUAUUGUAUAGUUCUAGAGGUUGGAUUUCACUCAAAACCAACCAAAUGACUCCUCUCACAGUAUUAUGAUGUUCCCCAGGUUUGGGACUCAAUCCGAUAUUGAUUAAUCCACGAAAUCGGACAAUUCAAGUUCUAACGAAGUCCGUUCUAAAAUGGAGUGGUUGGUGUAUUGUAUAGUUCUGUGGAUUGGAUUUCACUUGAAACCCACCAAAUGACUCCUCCCAUAAUAUUAUGAUGUUCCCCAAGUUUUGGACUCAAUCUGACAUCGAUUGGCCCUUGAAAUCGGACAAUUCAGGUUCGUACGAAGUUCGUUCUGAUAUGGAGUGGUGGGCGUAUUGUAUAGUUCUAGGGAUUGGAUUUCACUCAAAACCCACCGAAUGACUACUCCCACAAUAUUAUGAUGUUCCCCAAGUUUUGGACUCAAUCGAUAUCAAUUGGUCCUUGAAAUCGGACAAUUCAGGUUCGUACGAAGUUCGUUAUGAAAUGGAGUGGUUGGUGUAUUGUAUAGUUCUAGAGGUUGGAUUUGCUCAAAACCAACCAAAUGACUCCUCUCACAAUAUUGUGAUGUUCCCCAGGCUUGGGACUCAAUACGAUAUCGAUUGGUCCAGAAGAUUUGACAAUUCAAGUUCGUGCGAAGUUUAUUCUGAAAUGGAGUGGUUGGUGUAUUAGUUCUAGAGUUUUGAUUUUGCUCAAAACCCACCAAAUGACUCCUCCCACAAUAUUAUGAUGUUCCCCAAGUUUUGGACUCAAUCCGAUAUAGAUUGGUCCUUGAAAUCAGACAAUUCAGGUUCGUACCAAGUUCGUUCUGAGAUGGAGUGGUUAGUGUAUUGUACAGUUCUAGAGAUUGGAUUUCACUCGAAACCCACCAAAUGACUCGUCCCACAAUAUUAUGAUGUUUCCUAAGUUUUGGACUCAAUCCGAUAUCGAUUGGUCCUUGAAAUUGGACAAUUCAGGUUCGUACGAAGUUCGUUCUGAAAUGGAGUGGUUGGUGUAUUGGAUAGUUCUAAACAUUGGACUUCGCUCAAAACCCACCAAAUGACUCCUUCCAAAAUAUUAUGAUGUUCCCCUAGUUUUGGACUCAAUCCGAUAUCGAUUGGUCCAUGAAAUCAGACAAUUCAGGUUAGUACGAAGUUCGUUCUGAAAUGGAGUGGUUGGUGUAUUGUAUAGUUCUAGGGAUUGGAUUUCACUCAAAACCCACCAAAUGAUUCCUCCCACAUUAUUAUGAUGUUCCCCAAGUUUUGGACUCCAUCGCAUAUUGAUUAAUUCACGAAAUCGGACAAUUCAGGUUCUAACGAAGUACGUUCUGAAAUGAAGUGGUUGGUGUAUUGUAUAGUUCUGUGGAUUGGAUUUCACUUGAAACCCACCAAAUGACUCCUCGCGCAAUAUUAUGAUGUUCCCCCUUUUCUGGACUCAAUUCGAUAUCGAUUGGUCCUUGAAAUCGGCCAAUUCAAGUUCGUGCGAACUGUGUUCUGAAAUGGAGUGGUUGGUGUAUUGCAUAGUUUUAGCCAUUGGAUUUCAUUCAAAACCCGCCAAAUGACUCCUCCCACAAUAUUAUAUUGUUCCCCAUGUUUUGGACUCAAUCCAAUGUCGAUUGGUCCUUUAAAUCGGACAAUUCAAGUUCGUACGAAGUUCGUUCAAUGGAGUGGGUGGUGUAUUGUAUAGUUCUAGGAAUUGGAUUUCACUCAAAACCGAUCAAAUGACAUCUCCCACAAUAUUAUGAUGUUCCCCAAGUUUUGGACUCAAUCUGAUAUCGAUUGGUCCUUGAAAUCGGACAAUUCAGGUUCGUCCGAAGCUCGUUCUGAAUUGGAGUGGUCGGUGUAUUGUAUAGUUCUCGAGAUUGGAUUUCACUCAAAACCCACCAAAUGGCUCCUCCCACAAUAUUAUGAUGCUCCCCAAGUUUUGGACUCAAUCCGAUAUCGAUUGGCCCAUGAAAUCGGACAAUUCAGGUUCGUACGAAGUUCGUUCUGAAAUGGAGUGGUUGGUGUAUUGUAUAGUUCUAGAGAUUGGAUUUUACUCCAAACCCACCAAAUGACUCCCCCACAAUAUUAUGAUGUUCCCCAAGUUUUGGACUCAAUCCGAUAUUGAUUGGUCCUUGAAAUCGGACAAUUCAUGUUCGUACGAAGUUCGUUCUGAAAUGGAUUGGUUGGUGUAUUGUAUAGUUCUAGUAAUUGGAUUUCACUCAGAAACCACCAAAUGACUCCCACAAUAUUAUGAUGUUCUCCAAGUUUUGGACUCAAUCCGAUAUCGAAUGGUCCAUGAAAUCAGACAAUUCAGUUUCGUACGAAGUUCGUUCUGACAUGGAGUGGUUGGUGUAUUGUAUAGUUCUAGAGGUUGGAUUUCGCCCAAAACCAACCAAAUGACUCAUCUCACAAUAUUAUGAUGUUCCCCAGGUUUUGGACUCAAUCCGAUAUCGAUUGGUCCACGAAAUUGAACAAUUCAGGUUCGUACGAAGUUUGUUCUGAAGUGGAGUGGUUGGUGUAUUAGUUCUAGAGUUUUGAUUUCACUCAAAACCCACCAAAUGACUCUUCCCAGAAUAUUAUGAUGUUCCCCACAUUUUGGACUCAAUCCGAUAUCGAUUGGUCCAUGAAAUCGGACAAUUCAACUUCGUACGAUGUUCGUUCUGAAAUGGAGUGGUUAGUGUAUUGUUUAGUUCUAGAGAUUGGAUGAUAAGUUCAUAAUUUCAUACAUUCGCAUGCCCUCUUUACCUUGUGACUUUGCUUUGUUUCUCUUUAUUUUGAGUCACUUACCUCUUUUUGUUUGUUUUGUAGGUUAAGACAACAAGGGAUCACAUUUGAUGCAGUCCAUGCUUGAUAAGGGCUGAUUGGGAUAAGAGCAAUAUGAGUUUACAGACAAACCCAAUUUGCCCCACACUCCUUGUCAGUCCAGUUUCUUUGGUCAUCUUGGAGGCCUCAUUUCAGCAAAUUACACAGGUCGGAUGAGGAGACAUCCUUGAUAGAAGUUGUUUCAAUGGGUGUCUAUUAUAACAUAUCCAAAGUUCAGCCCAAUUGAAUAAAUCUGGAGCCCUCAGCACGUCAAAGACUCAACCAAGUUCGUAGAAAAGUCAUAGUUGGCUGCCAUCACAUUUAAUGUGGCUACAUCCCUAGAGCCAUGUGCUACACAUAAGAGCCGCCACACAUAGGAGACAAAUCAGCUUGGGAACUCAGAAAGAUGAACAAAAGUCAAGCUUGCCAUAAAGAGACCAAGAAUAGUUCAUCAAAGCAUUUAUUGGGCAGCUGGAGCAAUUGGCUUUUAUUGGGCAGCUGGAGCAGUUGGCAUUUAUUGGGCAGCUUAGGCAAUUAGGCGCAGCUAAGAGAGGUGUGUUUCACCAGCUAGAGGGGAGGACGAAAUUGGCACUCGAUAAAUUGAGAGCUGCACACUCAUUCAAAAAAAAGGAGAGAUAUAGAAGAGAGACAGAUUCAUUUUCAUCCAUCACUCACACAUUCAGAUUCACCACAAGAGAGAAGGGAGCUAGUUGCAAAGGAGGGAGACCUUGGAGCUGUCCUGGGAACUACCUUGUUAACACCAUCUAGUUCUUCUCUUCUCUUUAUUCUAUCUAUGUAUUUCUUAUUUUAUGUAUUCAUAGUUAUGUCUAACUAAGCCAUUUAGUUAAGGCUUAGGAUGAAGCCCUAGUCAUGAAUAUUCAAUGUUAUGGAUGAUUUUAUAGUCAAUUGAUUUCCUUGCUUUCAUUAUCAAGUUGUUAAUCUCCAGUUUAUUAUGUGCUUGAUGUAUGUUUUCUUGGAGUAGCUAACUAGGAUUUUAUGCAUCUAGCACAGGUUGGGAAAGGGUUUAGAUUCACCAAUUCUACUUGUAAUAACCCAAAACAAAAUAUCUAAAAAUUAGGAUUUAUUUAUUCUAGCAAAAAGACGAUUUUGCCCUCGCAUUAUUUAAUAGGGAAAAAGUUGACUUUUUGAUCAAGAAGGAAUUUGGCAAUUUCGCUUACGCCGUUGCGUAGAGCACGGCGAAACGAGUUCGUAGACACAGAGUAGACUCGAAUCGGAGUUGUAACGAAGAAAAUACGGUCAAAAUACCGCGAAGGGCAAAACGGUAAUUUGGACAAAAAGUCACAUUUUUAUCCCUUUCUCCUCUCUCUCUCUUCAUUUUUCUCUCUCCUCUCUCUCUCUCCUCCCGCGCGACCAGCCGCGCCUCCUCCUCUUCCAGCUCGUCCUGCCGCCGCUACAGCUCGGCCCGAUCUCCGGCAAGGGUAUCGUCAGCUCCGCCUCGGCCUCGCCGUUCUUCCCCGACCCGCCGCCGACCUGGGGCCGCCCGGAACUGGCCGGAAUCUGGAGUUUUCCGUCGGUUUUCAGUCGAAACUUCAAGCUCCUCGAUCUCCUUCGUUUCUCAACCAAAUCGUUCGAGUAAGGUAUGGUUUCUCAGCUAUUUUUCAUGCUCUAACUGAUGGUUGGCUGGGUUUUGAUCGAUUUUACCUCUAGAUCACUCGAUUUUCGAAUUGAAAAUUGGCCGUACUUCGACCGCCGUGACCGGCCAUUUCCUGCCACUUUUUGGGGAAUGACCAAGAACAAAAGUGACUCCAAAUGGGGUGUUUUACCUAGGAUAGGAGUUUGGAGUCUUGGUUUCGAGUUUUUCCGGCAACUCGGUAUCGCUUUGGACACCCAAACUGCCCAUGCGUGUGGCGGCGCCUGGGUGAGGGUAGUGAAGUGACUCUGAGUAGUUUUGCGAUCCUUGUGUUGUCACGAGCGUGUAGGAUUUUGCGGAUCUCGAUUUGGAGUCCGUUUGAGCCCCGAACAGAUUUUCCAUAUUGCGCGAUCCUUGGGUGCAGUGUCGUCGAGCCGUUGGACCGCACCCAAAUUCAGAUAUGUCAUUCUACAUGAUUUCAGGAUCAUGUAGGAUUCGACGGAUUGCGAAUCGGAGUCCCGGAUACUCCGAAAUCGCGAACCCUGGGGCUAGAGUUUGGAUUUUAAGCGAUAAUGCAAUUUUGGCUAAUCCGACCGUCCGUUUCGGACCAAACUCGCAGGACAUGGGUCUUUCUCUGUAAGGAACCUUUAGAGAAUCCCAGAUUGGCCAUCGGAGAUCGUGGACCCCACGAAGUUCCAGAUCGGCCGGUCUGACAGUUUAUCGCUUGGAACAGCUUCAGGUCUUUCAAGGCCGUUCUAAUUGUCUGAAAGGCUAAAGUGGGCAUAGGAGUGACUUUAAAAGGAGUACAUGCAUUUCUAGGAGCCGGGGGCAGGGUGUUUAAUUUAAUUCUUUUAUUGAGCAGUUUUAUUAAUUUAAUCUUUAUGGGUAAUCAGGCACCAGAGGACCGGCAGAACCACAAGAGGGACCUUCGAAGGGUCCAGCUAGCUCGGACCAGCAGUGAGUGGACUUUUCUUUUCUAAAUGAUAUUUAUAAUUAAAUUUUAUAUUUGAUUUUGAAUAAGUGUUAUUACAUAUUUUCUGAGCAUGAAUUGCAUCGUGAAAUAUCUUUAUUUUUAUAAUACUUAGUUGAGCAGCAGACUUGAGAUCUUUGAUACAGAAAUAGUAACUUAGCUCAGAUUUAUCAGAUUUCGAAGAAUUAUCAUAUUUUUCUAAAUUAGAACCACCAUGUACCCGCUUGUUUUUAGUGAUUACCCUCAGACGGACCGAUGUCUACGGACAUCCAGUCUGUUUACAGUUCCGUCAAUGCACUUGACAUUGCCUCACGAGUUUCGGGGAUGCUCGGAUCGUGAGUGCCAGGAUUUGCGGCUCGGCUGACUCUGUGUCCCCGAGACCUGCCAGAAUUUGCGGCUCGGCUGACUCUGUGUCCCCGAGACCUGUCAGGAUUUGCGGCUCGGCUGACUCGGUGUCCCCGAGACCUGCCAAGAUUGCGGAUCAGGCUGACUACGGUCCCCUGUAUCUUGCCAGAGCGACUCGAGUCCACUUGGUGUCAUCGAGACCUGCCGUCGGAUCAGGCUGACCAUAGUCCCCUGAAUCCUACCAGUUUGCGGCUCGGAUAGACUUUGUGUCGCCGAGACCUGCCAGGGGAUUUGACGGAUUUUACAGGGGUACAUUUAGGUGGUAGUGUAAAGGAAUUUGAGUACUUUUAUACAGCUAUUGCUUUCAGUCAUUUUAUAUAAGUUUUCAGUUUUACGAAUUUCUAUACAUACAUUUAUAUAUAGUUAGAUGAAUACCAUAUAUUGAACACAGUUGAACUUUAGCCUUACUUAUCAAGUUAUUUUUACCAUGGGGGUUAUUAUGAUUAUAAACUGAUUUCAAGAACAUUAUUUUUGUCCACUCACAUUUUCAAACUUGUUUUUCACCCCCAGGCUGUAGAAGUGCGCAGGCAUCCACCACCAGGCCACUCCUAGCUUCCACACCACCAAGAAACACAGAACUUUUAUUGUAAAAGUUCUUGAAAUCUUGUAAAUUAGUAGAAAAUGCUAUGAUAUCUCGUUUUAGUGGGAAACUUGAUCUGGUGAAAGCUUGGUUAUUUUAUUCUGGCAGUUGGUGGAAAAUUAUUUGCUUGUUUAACAGGUGGAAGAUUUUGGGUUUAGACAAAAUACAGGGGAGACUCUGCCGAAUUUUCGGCAGGAGUCUAAGGGAAGUUUUAACAGUAAUUGUAACAGGAAGGGUAAAAGGGUCAUUUGUGCCCGACAUUCGCCAGGUGUCGGACACGCACAGGGCUUGGUUCGAAUUCCAAAGUGAAAUUCGGAUCGGGUCCUGUCACUACUCUCCUUUCACAAGCAACACAUGAAUGGCCUAAGAAUCAUUCAAGGGGUUAAUAACCAUAGGUUGACUAGGACAGAUACCAUGUUCUAGGACUUGUGUGAUUAUCAUAUUCUCAAGGAGCUUAAUGACUCUUGUAUGCUUUAUUCUAAGUAGAUACCAUGCUUAGGUUGCAUAUUAGAGAUCACGGGUUGUGUAGAUACCAUGCACAAUCAGAUGCCUUAGGAGAAUCAUGCAUUCUGCACCUAGAUACCAUACGCUUGUAUGCGAUAAUCUAUUGUUGAUGCAGCUUGAGUCAAUUUCUAUGCAUUCAUAACUUGAAUAGGAAGACUAGUGGUGGAUUGCAAGGCUCGAACAACUCUCAAUCACUGUUUCACAACUUCUUGAUUGCUGCCUGUGUUUACUUUCCAGUACUUUCAUUUCAAUUUCUUGUUUUCAUUACAACAACAAAACCCCCCAUUUCGAGUGCGUGUGUGGUGCUAGGACCCUGUCCUAGACCUUGACUAAUUAGCAAGAGGCAUUGUUGAAUUUGACCUUGGUUUAGUUAGUUAGUCAGUUUCUUUAUUUUCUGUUUUUCCCGCAUUCUAAGUAAUUUAACAAGGAAACAAGUUACCAUUCUCCGUGGGAUCGACCUCGUAUUUACAUAAGUGAUACUAUAAAUGGGUCGUGCACUUGCGAGAAAUAAAGUUGUUAUUUUCAAUAACUCAUUUUAGUUGUUAAGGAUAGGCUCAACAUUAGAUUUCACUCAAAACCCACCAAAUGACUCCUACAACAAUAUUAUGAUGUUCCCCAAGUUUUGGACUCAAUCUGGUAUCGAUUGGUCCUUGAAAUCGGAUAAUUCAGGUUCGUACGAGAUUCGUUCUGAAAUGGAGUGGUUGGUGUAUUGCAUAGAUUUGGCAAUUGGUUUUCACUCAAAACUCACCAAAUGACUCCUCCCAAAACAUUGUGAUGUUCCCUAAGUUUUGGACUCAAUCCGAUAUCUAUUGGUCCAUGAAAUCGGACAAUUCAGGUUUGUAAGAAGUUCGUUCUUUAAUGGAGUGGUUGGUGUAUUGCAUAGUUUUGGCAAUUAGAUUUCACUCACAACUAACCAAAUGACUCCCCUCACAACAUUAUGAGGUUCACCAAGUUUUGGACUCAAUCCGAUAUCGAUUGGUCCAUGAAAUCGAACAAUUCAGGUUCGUACGAAGUUCAUUCUGAAAUGGAGUGGUUGGUGUAUUAUAUAGGUCUAGAGAUAGGAUUUCAUUCAAAACCCACCAAAUGACUCCUCCCACAACGUUAUAAUGUUCCCCAAGUUUUGGACUCAAUCUGAUAUCGAUUGGUCCAUGAAAUCGGACAACUCAGGUUCGUACGAGAUUCAUUCUAAAAUGGAGGGGUUGGUGUAUUGCAUAGUUUUGGCAACUGGAUUUCACUCAAAACUCACCUAAUGACUCCUCCGACGACAUUAUGAUGUUCUCCAAGUUUUGGACUCAAUACGAUCUCUAUUGGUCCAUGAAAUCGGAAAAUUCAAGUUUGUACGAGGUUCGUUCUGAAAUGGAGUGGUUGGUGUAUUGCAUAGUUUUGGAAAUUGGAUUUCACUCAAAACUCACCUAAUGACUCCUCCCACAAUAUUAUGAUGUUCCCCAUGUCUUGGACUGAAUCCGAAAUCUAUUGGUCCAUGAAAUCGGACAAUUCAGGUUCGUACGAAGUUCGUUCCGAAAUUUAGCGGUUUGUGUAUUGUAUAGUUCCAAAGAAUGGAUUUCACUCAAAAACCACCAAAUGACACCUCCCACAAUAUUACGAUGUUCCCCAAGUUUCGGACUCAAUCCAAUAUCGAUGGGUCCAUGAAACCGGACAAUUCAGGUUCGUACGAGAUUAAUUCAAAAAUGGAGUGGUUGGUGUAUUGCAUAGUUUUCACAACUGGAUUUCACUGAAAACGCACCAAAUGACUCCUCCCACAACAUUAUGACGUUCCUCAACUUUUGGACUCGAUCCGAUAUCUAUUGGUCCAUGAAACUGGACAAUUCGGGUUCGUACGAAGUUCGUUAUGACAUUUAGUGGUUGGUGUAUUGCAUAGUUUUUGCAAUUGGAUUUCACUCAAAACUCACCAAAUGACUCCUCCCACAACGUUAUGAUGUUCCCCAAGUUUUGGACUCAAUUCGAUAUCUAUUGGUCCAUGAAAUCAGACAAUUCAGGUUCGUAUGAAGUUCGUUUUGAAAUGAAGUGGUUGGUGUAUUGCUUAGUUUUGGCAAUUGGAUUUCACUCAAAAUACACCAAAUGACACCUCUCACAACAUUAUGAUGUUCUCCCACGUUUUGGACUCAAACCAACAUCGAUUGGUUCAUGAAAUCGGACAAUUCAGGUUCGUACGAGGUCCGUUCUGAAAUGGAGUGGUUGGUGUAUUUCAUAGUUUUGGAAAUUGGAUUUCACUCAAAACUAACCUAAUGACUCCUUCGACAACAUUAUGAUGUUCCCCAAGUUUUGGACUCAAUCCGAUAUCGAUUGGUCCGAAAUCGGACAGGUUCGUUAGAGGUUCAUUCUGAAAUGCAGUGGUUGGUGUAUUGUAUAGUUCUAGAGAUUGGAUUUCACUCAAAAGCCACCAAAUGACUCCUCCCUCAAUAUUAUGAUGUUCCCCAAGUUUUGGACUCAAUCCGAUAUCGAUUAGUCCAUGAAAUCGGACAAUUCAGCUUCGUACGAGGUUCAAUCUUAAAUGGUGUGGUUGGUGUAUUGCAUAAUUUUGGCAAUUGAAUUUCACUCAAAACACACCAAAUGACUCCUCCCACAACGUUAUGAUGUUCCCUAAGGUUUGGACUCAAUCCGAUUUUGAUUGGUCCAUGAAAUCGGACAAUUCAGGUUCGGACGAGGUUCGUUCUGAAAUUGAGUGGUUGGUGUAUUGUAUAGUUCUAAAGAUUGGAUUUCACCCAAAACCCACCAAAUGACUACUCCCACAAUAUUAUGAUGUUCCCCAAGUUUUGGACUCAAUCCCAUAUCGAUUGGUCCAUGAAAUCGGACAAUUCAGGUUCGUACGAAAUUCGUUCUAAAAUGGAGUGCUUGGUUUAUUGUAUACUUCUAGUGAUUGGAUUUCCCUCAAAACCCAUCAAAUGACUCCUCCCAUAUUAUUAUGAUGUUCCCCAAGUUUUGGACUUAAUCCGAUAUGGAUUGGUCUAUCAAAUCGGACAAUUCAGGUUCAUACGAAGUUCGUUCUGAAAUGUAGUGGUUUGUGUAUUGUAUAGUUUUUGCAAUUGCAUUUCACUCAAAACUCACCAAAUGACUCCUCCCACAAUAUUAUGGUGUUCCCCAAGUUUUGGACUCAAUCCGAUAUCGAUUGGUCCAUGAAAUCUGACAAUUCAAGUUUGUACGAAAUUCAUUCUGAAAUAUAGUGGUUGGUGUAUUGUAUAGUUCUAGAGAUUGGAUUUCACUCAAAACCCCCCAAAUGACUCAUCCCACAAUGUUAUAAUGUUACCCAUGUUUUGGACUCAAUCCGAUAUAAAUUGGUCCAUAAAAUUGGACAAUUCAGGUACGUACGAGAUUUGUCCUGAAAUGGAGAGGUUGGUGUAUUGCAUAGUUUUGGCAAUUGGGUUUCACUCAAAACUCAUAAAAUGACUCCUCCCACAACGUUAUGAUGUUCCCCAAGUUGUGGACUCAUCCGAUAUCUAUUGAUCCAUGAAAUCAGACAAUUCAGGUUCGGAUGAAGUUCGUUCUGAAAUGAACGGGUGGGUGUAUUGCAUAGUUUUGGCAGUUGGAUUUCACUCAAAAUACACCAAAUGACACCUCUCACAACAUUAUGAUGUUCCCCAUGUUUUGGACUCAAACCAACAUCGAUUGGUCCAUGAAAUCGGACAAUUCAAGUUCGCACGAGGUUCUUUCUGAAAUGGUGUGGUUGGUGUAUUUCAUAGUUUUGGCAAUUGGAUUUCACUCAAAACUAACCUAAUGACUCCUCCCACAACAUUAUGAUGUUCCCCAAGUUUUGUACUCAAUCUGAUAUCUAUUGGUCCAUGAAAUCGGAAAAUUUAGGUUCGUACGAAGUUCGUUCUGAAAUGGAGUGGUUGGUUUAUUGUAUACUUCUAGCGAUUGGAUUUCACUCAAAACCCAUCAAAUGACUCCUCCCACAAUUUUAUGAUGUUCCCCAAGUUUUGGACUCAAUCCGAUAUCGAUUGGUCCAUGAAAUCGGACAAUUCAAGUUCGUACGAAGUUCGUUCUGAAAUGUAGUGGUUGGUGUAUUAUAAGUUCUGGAGAUUGGAUUACACUCAAAAUCCCCCAAAUGACUCAUCCCACAAUGUUAUAAUGUUCCCCAUGUUUUGGACUCAAUCCGAUAUCGAUUGGUCCAUGAAAUUGGACAAUUCAUGUUCGUACGAGGUUUGUUCUGAAAUAGAGAGGUUGGUGUAUUGCGUAGUUUUGGCAAUUGGAUUUCACUCAAAACUCACCAAAUGACUUCUCUCACAAUGUUAUGAUGUUCCCCAAGUUGUGGACUCAAUCCGAUAUCUAUUGAUCCAUGAAAUCAGACAAUUCAGGUUCGUAUGAAGUUCGUUAUGAAAUGAAGUGGUUGGUGUAUUGCAUUGUUUUGGCAGUUGGAUUUCACUCAAAAUAAACCAAAUGACACCUCCCACAACAUUAUGAUGUUCCCCAUGUUUUGGACUCAAACCAACAUCGAUUGGUCCAUGAAAUCGGACAAUUCAAGUUCGUACGAGGUUCUUUCUGAAAUGGAGUGGUUGGUGUAUUUCAUAGUUUUGGCAAUUGGAUUUCACUCAAAACUAACCUAAUGACUCCUCCCACAACAUUAUGAUGUUUCCCAAGUUUUGGAAUCAAUCCGAUAUCUAUUGGUCUAUGAAAUCGGACAAUUCAGGUCCGUACGAAGUUCGUUCUGAAAUGGAGUGGUUUGUGUAUUGUAUAGAUCUAGACAUUCGAUUUCACUCAAAACCCACCAAAUGACUCCUCCCACAAUAUUAUGAUGUUCCUCAAGUUUUGGACUCAAUC
rnacentral:lncRNA from 1 species